AGAGUUUGAUCCUGGCUCAGGACGAACGCUGGCGGCGUGCCUAACACAUGCAAGUCGAACGGGGUCCAUGAGAGCUUGCUCUCGGAAGACCUAGUGGCGAACGGGUGAGUAACACGUGAGAAACCUGCCUUGGAGUGGGGAAUAACUCGAGGAAACUCGAGCUAAUACCGCAUACCUUCUCUUGACCGCAUGGUCAGUUGAAGAAAGAAUUUCGCUCCAAGGGGGUCUCGCGGCCUAUCAGUUUGUUGGUGGGGUAACGGCCUACCAAGACUACGACGGGUAGCUGGUUUGAGAGAACGAUCAGCCACACUGGAACUGAGACACGGUCCAGACUCCUACGGGAGGCAGCAGUGGGGAAUCUUGCGCAAUGGGCGAAAGCCUGACGCGGCAACGCCGCGUGCGGGAUGAAGGCCUUCGUGGUUGUAAACCGCUUUCAGCAGGGACGAAAAUGACGGUACCUGCAGAAGAAGCCCCGGCUAACUACGUGCCAGCAGCCGCGGUAAUACGUAGGGGGCAAGCGUUGUCCGGAAUCAUUGGGCGUAAAGAGCUCGUAGGCGGUUCAGUAAGUCAGGUGUGAAAGCUCCGAGCUCAACUCGGAGAGGCCACCUGAUACUGCUGUGACUAGAAUCCAGUAGGGGAGUGUGGAACUCCUGGUGUAGCGGUGAAAUGCGCAGAUAUCAGGAAGAACACCAGCGGCGANNNCGGCACUCUGGGCUGGAAUUGACGCUG
rnacentral:rRNA from 1 species